AACUCUGGUAUUGAUUGGUGCUUGCAUCAUGAUUUACAUUUGAGUGAGUGGCGAACUGGUGAGUAACACGUGGGAAACCUGCCCAGAAGCGGGGGAUAACACCUGGAAACAGAUGCUAAUACCGCAUAACAACUUGGACCGCAUGGUCCGAGCUUGAAAGAUGGCUUCGGCUAUCACUUUUGGAUGGUCCCGCGGCGUAUUAGCUAGAUGGUGGGGUAACGGCUCACCAUGGCAAUGAUACGUAGCCGACCUGAGAGGGUAAUCGGCCACAUUGGGACUGAGACACGGCCCAAACUCCUACGGGAGGCAGCAGUAGGGAAUCUUCCACAAUGGACGAAAGUCUGAUGGAGCAACGCCGCGUGAGUGAAGAAGGGUUUCGGCUCGUAAAACUCUGUUGUUAAAGAAGAACAUAUCUGAGAGUAACUGUUCAGGUAUUGACGGUAUUUAACCAGAAAGCCACGGCUAACUACGUGCCAGCAGCCGCGGUAAUACGUAGGUGGCAAGCGUUGUCCGGAUUUAUUGGGCGUAAAGCGAGCGCAGGCGGUUUUUUAAGUCUGAUGUGAAAGCCUUCGGCUCAACCGAAGAAGUGCAUCGGAAACUGGGAAACUUGAGUGCAGAAGAGGACAGUGGAACUCCAUGUGUAGCGGUGAAAUGCGUAGAUAUAUGGAAGAACACCAGUGGCGAAGGCGGCUGUCUGGUCUGUAACUGACGCUGAGGCUCGAAAGUAUGGGUAGCAAACAGGAUUAGAUACCCUGGUAGUCCAUACCGUAAACGAUGAAUGCUAAGUGUUGGAGGGUUUCCGCCCUUCAGUGCUGCAGCUAACGCAUUAAGCAUUCCGCCUGGGGAGUACGGCCGCAAGGCUGAAACUCAAAGGAAUUGACGGGGGCCCGCACAAGCGGUGGAGCAUGUGGUUUAAUUCGAAGCUACGCGAAGAACCUUACCAGGUCUUGACAUACUAUGCAAAUCUAAGAGAUUAGACGUUCCCUUCGGGGACAUGGAUACAGGUGGUGCAUGGUUGUCGUCAGCUCGUGUCGUGAGAUGUUGGGUUAAGUCCCGCAACGAGCGCAACCCUUAUUAUCAGUUGCCAGCAUUAAGUUGGGCACUCUGGUGAGACUGCCGGUGACAAACCGGAGGAAGGUGGGGAUGACGUCAAAUCAUCAUGCCCCUUAUGACCUGGGCUACACACGUGCUACAAUGGAUGGUACAACGAGUUGCGAACUCGCGAGAGUAAGCUAAUCUCUUAAAGCCAUUCUCAGUUCGGAUUGUAGGCUGCAACUCGCCUACAUGAAGUCGGAAUCGCUAGUAAUCGCGGAUCAGCAUGCCGCGGUGAAUACGUUCCCGGGCCUUGUACACACCGCCCGUCACACCAUGAGAGUUUGUAACACCCAAAGUCGGUGGGGUAACCUUUUAGGAACCAGCCGCCUAAGGUGGGAC
rnacentral:rRNA from 1 species